CGGAGCCUGGAGUGGGGGAAGAGAAGAAAGCAAAAUGCUAAGCCUGUUCCAGUUGCCCAAAGAAAGGAUCUAGUUUAAUCCUGAAGUGCAGCCACAUAAUAAAGUGCAGCACUGACGGGGGGAGGGGACACAUGAACCGCUAACUGAUAGAGGAACCAGCCCCUUCCAUCUCCCUUCCCAGAGGUUGUGCCUAUGGCCAAAUAUAACAUAGAGAAAUCUAGUGCAGCUGUAAGGAAACCCUAAGCCAGGCACAUUUCGCCUUGAACCAGGACCAAACCAAAAUCCAGGCUGGGGUCCUGCUACUGUAUCAUCUGUUCUCCGGGACAAUCUUGAGCAAAGCCAGCCUGGUCUGUGGGUGACACAAACCCAACAGCUGCCCCUGGAAGUGUGGGGUUGUUUGAUAUGUCCGGUUGCUGAGCAUUGAGUUUUGCCAAAAGCUUUUGGCUGAAUUUCCGGACAGAGGCCGCAGAUCUCCCAUUCCUUUCGAUGGGAAACCCCCAGUCGCCAUCAAAAAAUCUCAACCUUUAUCUUUGGAAAGAAAUCAGCCCCCCACCUCCAAACACCCACCCCCAGCUUGCAGCCAGCAAAAACUAGGUCUUCCUUUGGCUGAGCCCAUCUCUGUUUCCUGCAAAGCUCUCUCUGCAACCCCAGCUGAACGGGAACACACAUACCCUGCCCUGUGUGAAGACAAUCGCGCCAGGAGCAACUGGGCUUUCCGUUCCCUUCUCUGAGCACCUAAGAACAGACGCACCAGAUUACGAACCUGAAAUUAAAGGAGGAACUCAUAAAAGAAAGCCCAGAUCCCACCCAGGAGCCCGGCUUUCCACAGCAUUUAGAGCUUGCUGCAUGCUUCCCUCUUUGUAAUGUUCAUCAGCCUCCUGGAGUUGUCCUGGAUUUAAAGAGCUGCUGGCACUUCUUGGAAAGAGCGAGAAAACAUCGCCUGCAGAACGGAAUCAGCUUUCCUGAGCCCGGAUUUGUAUACUGGUCAGGUGCUGUGCGGGCAUGGAGGGGGCAACCCUUAAGGUCAUCACACCAGAGGAUGCUGAUAAAGACAGAUGUGCUGUUGGAUUGACAGUCACAAUGGAAAGGGAAAGAAAAGUUUCAAAGCUACCUUCCCUUUUUCCCAUGAACACUUUUAAUUGACACUUCAUCUUUGGACAGCACUGUUCGCCAGCCCCAGCCAUGGUGGAAGUGAUUUUAGCUGAUCUCUCACUCCUGAGGGUCACAAAGGCACAGACAGUACAGCUGCUACUGGGGUCCCGAAGCCACCUGGGCCUGUAGGCCAUCAGCCUGUUUGCUGCAAUGGAUGGUGCAAGCCCAACUCAUCGCAGAGUGGCACGGGAACGUGCCCUACCACAGUGGAGAAAUAAGGUCCUUAGAAACCUUCAGGAGAGGAUUGCAGAGCAUCUCCAUGAAAGUGUCAUCAAGGUCCCUCAGCAGGAUAAAAGGGCCAUUCCUGUGUACAUAAACAAAGUGCUCCCAAGCCACCCCCCGCCUAACCCAACAGGGGAAUGAAAAGCAGGUGCCAGCUCUACUUCUGUUUGUUGUAUCUCUGUCUCUGCUCCUAUGAGUACAAUGAACAGUCGAUACCUUUGUCUUGUUAACUGGGGAGAUGGGCUGGGUGCCAUCUUUGAAUGUCAACACUGUAAGGAAAAAUGCAUCCACAUACAUCGGAGUUGCCUUGACCUUCCUCCUAGGCUCACCCGUCCUCGCCUGGUGGGACUGGCUAGACUGCGGCGGAGGCUCAAACAGGUCCCAGCUCGCAGCACGGAAGGAAGCUAGACAAUUUACAGCACCUGCAAAUGCAGUGUCAGGACAGAGAAGUGACUGUUUGACACCCUCCUAACCCAUCAACCUCCUGAGGGCUGGAUGUGGAACAAAAACCUGGAAUGAGGGACCCAAGAAGGAAAGGAGGGAGCACGGAACGACAUGGAAUUGAUGACUUUAUCCCGAGCAGGGUUGCUGAUGGCGUCGAUGUCCUGAGUUAACUGUUUCGGAGAAGUCAUUUACCAUGGCAAAAUAGAGGUGGAUUUGGCCAGAAGGGGCCACUCGUGAGAGCUGAUGUUGUUUAACAGGGUAUUGUAACACUUCAGAUUUAAUGGCUGCUGCGAUGCGGCAUCUGUUCAGGGCUUAUCCCAACAGCAGAAGAACUCUGAGCCUCCUGUACCCAAGCACAGGCCCCUGCCACUGCAGCGAGAAUCUCUGCAGGCUCUCGGCCAUACGGGGCCUGUGACACACAGCUGAGCAGAUCUCAUUCUGGCCAGUAGAGGGCAGGAAUGCACAUGCACAGUAGCCAGGACAUGACACUAUUGUGAGCUUUGGAACAUGGACCUGCUCCCUGACAGGUGAGCUGAGUGACCCUCUCCUGUCGUAGAGAAUACCAAUAUCUAACAAUGCAUUUCUAGCACACAUGCUAUAGAGCAGUGGUUCUCAACCUAUUUACCAUUGUGGGCCACAUCCAAUACUACCUGUCUGGCCCUGAGGAUGUCACAUGGGCUGCAGCUCUGUGCUGAUUGGGCCGUAAGCGGUCCACAGGCUGCGGGUUGAGUCUCUCUGGCCCAAUGGCUGUUCAAGUAUUUUAUACGCAGUGGAAUGUUUCAACAGGACAGAUGGAGAGCCCCACCCCAGAAUACCCUAUAGCCCAGUGACUGGGGCACUCACCAGGAAUAGGAGAAACCUGCGUUCAAGUCUCGGCUCCAGAGCAGGGAUUCAAACCGGUCUCUCCCAUCCCAGUUGAGUGCCCUAGGCACUGGGCUAUUGGGCACAACAGCGGCACCGCCUCCCCCUCUUCCCCUUGUGAACAUUGCCCGAAAAAUCAAAAUAUUAGUAACCAUUUCAACACUGCCGAUUUCGUUUCCCGCCAUGACCGAAGCAAUUCGCUGAACUCGCCACGAAUUUGCAAAACGCCCCAAAUCUGCCUUUGUUGUUGAAAAAAAACCGUAUCAGCUGAAAAAUGUCAGCCAGCUUUAGUUGUCAUGCAACCAAACAAGCCAGGGGGUGAACCCGGGCUGGGUGAAGGCUUCAACGGGACAUUCCAAAUGUUCCAUCUCAAGAAGCUGCAUUUUCUUACCCGGAACGAACCUCUCCCCAUCCCCAAUGCCCCAUCCUGGGCUGUAAUCACACAAGUGUUUCUAAGCCAUUCCUUGCAGUGGCGUGGGUUCACCAGUACCAAUGGGAUAUUGACCAUUUUCAAUGUCCCUUUGAAGCAUUGUGUGUAUAAAGCAGAGAGGGGCUCAGGCAUAGAUCCUCAAGCAUAGUUUGGUGCCUAAGUCUCACUGAAACCAAUAGAUCUUUGACACUCUGGACAUCAGUCUGCAAGGCAGACCAGAAACAGGAAAUGACAACAGAGAGAAAACAGAAAGGGGGGUGGGGGGAGAGAUUCCAAAGAUGGUGGCAACUUUGCCAGGCAUGGAUUGAGAGGUCCCAGCGGAAGUGCCUAAUCCGUUAUAACUGGCACUCAACCAGAAAAGGACUGGGGACCGCUGACCUAGAGAGAACGAAGAGAGAGAGCUAAAUUCUCUUGUUUACACUGGUGCAGUCCCACUGACUUCAGUGGAGUUUCAGCAAUGUAAGCGGAGGAGAAUUUAGUCCGUGGGAGCUCCGAUUGUCACAGGUGCUGAGUUCCCACAACUCCAGCUGCUGUCAAGGGGAGCUGUGGUGCCUCAGUACCUCUUCUAGUCAUGCCUGGGGGGUCUGAGCCUCUUUAUAGAUCAGACGCUGGUUCAAAUCCAUUAUCUGAUCUGCUUUUAAUGGAUCAGGAGUCCCAGGCCCUGGUUUCUGUUCCCAGCUCAGCCACUGGCCUGAUGCAUGACUUUGGGCAAGUCACCUGACCUCUCCAUGCCUCAGUUUCCCACCCUUUAUCUGUCUUUGAGCGGCAGUUCUUUGGGGCUGGGACUGCCUCUCGCUAUGGGUGUGUGUAGCGUCAGCACAAUGGGACCCUAUUCCUGGUCGGGGCUUCAAGGUGCUAUUGUAUAAGACGUAUAAUAAAUAAUAAUAAUUUAAAAAUA